GAUGAACGCUGGCGGCGUGCCUAAUACAUGCAAGUCGAGCGAGCGGACGAGAAGCUUGCUUCUCUGAUGUUAGCGGCGGACGGGUGAGUAACACGUGGAUAACCUACCUAUAUGACUGGGAUAACUUCGGGAAACCGGAGCUAAUACCGGAUAAUAUUUUGAACCGCAUGGUUCAAAAGUGAAAGACGGUCUUGCUGUCACUUAUAGAUGGAUCCGCGCUGCAUUAGCUAGUUGGUAAGGUAACGGCUUACCAAGGCAACGAUGCAUAGCCGACCUGAGAGGGUGAUCGGCCACACUGGAACUGAGACACGGUCCAGACUCCUACGGGAGGCAGCAGUAGGGAAUCUUCCGCAAUGGGCGAAAGCCUGACGGAGCAACGCCGCGUGAGUGAUGAAGGUCUUCGGAUCGUAAAACUCUGUUAUUAGGGAAGAACAUAUGUGUAAGUAACUGUGCACAUCUUGACGGUACCUAAUCAGAAAGCCACGGCUAACUACGUG
rnacentral:rRNA from 1 species